rnacentral:rRNA from 1 species
GAUGAACGCCGGCGGUGUGCCUAAUACAUGCAAGUCGUACGCACUGGCCCAACUGAUUGAUGGUGCUUGCACCUGAUUGACGAUGGAUCACCAGUGAGUGGCGGACGGGUGAGUAACACGUAGGUAACUUGCCCCGGAGCGGGGGAUAACAUUUGGAAACAGAUGCUAAUACCGCAUAAUAGUGUUUAACACAUGUUAGAGACUUGAAAGAUGCAAUUGCAUCACUAGUAGAUGGACCUGCGUUGUAUUAGCUAGUUGGUGGGGUAACGGCCUACCAAGGCGACGAUACAUAGCCGACCUGAGAGGGUGAUCGGCCACACUGGGACUGAGACACGGCCCAG